ACUCAAAGGAAUUGACGGGGACCCGCACAAGCAGUGGAGUAUGUGGUUUAAUUCGAAGCAACGCGAAGAACCUUACCAGGUCUUGACAUCCCGAUGAAAGCCUCAGAGAUGAGGUCCCUCUUCGGAGCAUUGGAGACAGGUGGUGCAUGGUUGUCGUCAGCUCGUGUCGUGAGAUGUUGGGUUAAGUCCCGCAACGAGCGCAACCCUUGAUCUUAGUUGCCAGCAUGUAAGGAUGGGCACUCUAGGAUGACUGCCGGUGACAAACCGGAGGAAGGUGGGGAUGACGUCAAAUCAUCAUGCCCCUUAUGACCUGGGCUACACACGUACUACAAUGGCCGGUACAACGGGGAGCGAAGCAGCGAUGCGGAGCAAAUCCUUAUAAGCCGGUCUCAGUUCGGAUUGCAGGCUGCAACUCGCCUGCAUGAAGUCGGAAUUGCUAGUAAUCGCGGAUCAGCAUGCCGCGGUGAAUACGUUCCCGGGUCUUGCACACACCGCCCGU
rnacentral:rRNA from 1 species